rnacentral:lncRNA from 1 species
AUUUACAUGAUCAAAGAGAGGAAGGGUGGGGAAGUAGCAAGGAAGGAAGGAAGGAAGGAAGAAAAUCAUGUUUGCUAGCAACACUAGCUAGCAAUGCUGUGACAGUAACAACACCCCCACAUAUCAAUAUUAACCUUGAACAGAAAUGACCUAAUACUCCACUUAAAAUAUAUAGUUAAACCAGAUUUAAAAAAAAAUGGGGGGUGGGGGAGUACCUACAUUCAAUACCCAGCCAGCUUUGACUUGAUUUUCCUACCAAAUGCUGGAUGGUUUGAGGGGACAUGAACUCACCUUUGCAUCGCACUCCUGGAUCCUUGAAGUGAUUUUGCCCAUUGCUGGACAGGAAGCCUUGUUUGCAAGCGCAAUAGUAACUGUCCACUGUAUUGGUGCAGGUGGCAUAAGCUGGGCACAAGGUACUGUCUCUACAGUUAUUACCUAGGCAGUGUAUAAAGAAAAGUUUAGACAAGAUUAGAGCAUUAGAGUGAGGCUGCAAGGGAACCCAGCAUACAAGGGUGGAGGUGACUGUUAUGGGUUGGAUUGUGUUCCUCCCAAAAGAUACGUUACAGUCCUAAACCCUGGUACCUGUGAAUUUCAUCUUAUUUGGAAACUGGGUCUUUGUAGAUGCAAUUAAGAUAAAAGUUAAGAUGAAGUAGUGCUGGAGUAGGGUGGGCCACAGGUGUCCUUAUAAGAAGAGAAGAGACACACAGACAUGCACAGGGACAGUGCCAUGCAACAGUGCAAACCGGGAUCAGAGUGAUAUGUCUAGAAGCCAAGGAACACCAAGGAUUGCCAGCAAUAACAAAAGCCUUAAAAAAAGGCAUGGAACAGAUUCUGCCCUAUAGCCUUUGGAGAAAGACUGGCCCUGCCAAUACCUUGAAUUCACACUUCUGGACUCCAGAACUUGAAGAGAAUAAAUUUCUGUCAUUUUAAGCAGCCCUAGGAAACGGAUACAGCAACCAAUCAUAUUUAACCAUGUACCUCAAAGAUCCUAGACCCUUUCUACUCAGAGUAGGGUCUGUGAGUCAGCCACAUAAGCAUCUCCUGGGAGUUAGAUGGAAAUGCAAAAUCCAUUGAAUCAGAAUCUGCAUUUGAACAAGAUCCCAGGUGAUGUGUGCGCACAGGGAAGUUUGAGAAGCACUCAUCUGGAUCCUUGCUACCCAAAGUAUCCACAGACCAGUAUCACCUGCCUCCCCUUGGAUUCCAAGAACAUCUUGGAAAAUCAGGUACUAAUUCAGCAGGUCUGGGGAAGGGGGCCGGGGAUUUUGCAUUUCUAACAAGUGCCUGGAGGAUGCCAAUUCUGUUGCUCCAUGGAUCACACCAUGAACAUCCAAGCACUAGACAGAAAAGUGUGAGAGUGAAAACUGCAAAUUUCGGGACAAGGCAGAUCUGAGUUCAAGUUCCAGCAGCAAACCUCAAAGCCAAGAAUGGUGGCUGUUCCCCCAAAUCCAUUCCACCCUCUUCCUUAUAAUAAUAGAACCAUCCAGUUUAGGACUGCAUUCCCAGCUUCUCUUGCAGCUAGCUGUGGCCACCUGGUGAAAAUCUGGCCAAGGAGAAUGAAUAGAAGUGAUGUGUGUACUGUCUGGUCAUGCCCUUGAAAAGAAAGAGCAUACUCCACACUUUUUCUCCCUUUUCACAUGGGCUGGAAGAUGGACAGACUGGGGUGAUCCAUUUCCAACCACGGGGAUGAGGCUCACGCCUAAGAUUGGAGAGGCAACAAGGCAAAAGGCACCUGGGAGAUGGAAUGACCUCCUAGGCAAGGUUGUUCCACGACGCUGUUCCAUCUUCAAGUUGGAGAUUUAUGAGACAGAUAAAAAUAAACAUCUGCAUUGUUUCAUUCAU